CUGCCCGGUAGCUAAAUGCGGAAGAGAUAAGUGCUGAAAGCAUCUAAGCACGAAACUUGCCCCGAGAUGAGUUCUCCCUGAGACUUAGAGUCUCCUGAAGGAACGUUGAAGACGACGACGUUGAUAGGCCGGGUGUGUAAGCGCAGCGAUGCGUUGAGCUAACCGGUACUAAUGAACCGUGAGGCUUAACCUUAC
rnacentral:rRNA from 1 species